AGAGUUUGAUCCUGGCUCAGGAUGAACGCUGGCGGCGUGCCUAAUACAUGCAAGUCGAGCGAACGGACGAGAAGCUUGCUUCUCUGAUGUUAGCGGCGGACGGGUGAGUAACACGUGGAUAACCUACCUAUAAGACUGGGAUAACUUCGGGAAACCGGAGCUAAUACCGGAUAAUAUUUUGAACCGCAUGGUUCAAAAGUGAAAGACGGUCUUGCUGUCACUUAUAGAUGGAUCCGCGCUGCAUUAGCUAGUUGGUAAGGUAACGGCUUACCAAGGCAACGAUGCAUAGCCGACCUGAGAGGGUGAUCGGCCACACUGGAACUGAGACACGGUCCAGACUCCUACGGGAGGCAGCAGUAGGGAAUCUUCCGCAAUGGGCGAAAGCCUGACGGAGCAACGCCGCGUGAGUGAUGAAGGUCUUCGGAUCGUAAAACUCUGUUAUUAGGGAAGAACAUAUGUGUAAGUAACUGUGCACAUCUUGACGGUACCUAAUCAGAAAGCCACGGCUAACUACGUGCCAGCAGCCGCGGUAAUACGUAGGUGGCAAGCGUUAUCCGGAAUUAUUGGGCGUAAAGCGCGCGUAGGCGGUUUUUUUAAGUCUGAUGUGAAAGCCCACGGCUCAACCGUGGAGGGUCAUUGGAAACUGGAAAACUUGAGUGCAGAAGAGGAAAGUGGAAUUCCAUGUGUAGCGGUGAAAUGCGCAGAGAUAUGGAGGAACACCAGUGGCGAAGGCGACUUUCUGGUCUGUAACUGACGCUGAUGUGCGAAAGCGUGGGGAUCAAACAGGAUUAGAUACCCUGGUAGUCCACGCCGUAAACGAUGAGUGCUAAGUGUUAGGGGGUUUCCGCCCCUUAGUGCUGCAGCUAACGCAUUAAGCACUCCGCCUGGGGAGUACGACCGCAAGGUUGAAACUCAAAGGAAUUGACGGGGACCCGCACAAGCGGUGGAGCAUGUGGUUUAAUUCGAAGCAACGCGAAGAACCUUACCAAAUCUUGACAUCCUUUGACAACUCUAGAGAUAGAGCCUUCCCCUUCGGGGGACAAAGUGACAGGUGGUGCAUGGUUGUCGUCAGCUCGUGUCGUGAGAUGUUGGGUUAAGUCCCGCAACGAGCGCAACCCUUAAGCUUAGUUGCCAUCAUUAAGUUGGGCACUCUAAGUUGACUGCCGGUGACAAACCGGAGGAAGGUGGGGAUGACGUCAAAUCAUCAUGCCCCUUAUGAUUUGGGCUACACACGUGCUACAAUGGACAAUACAAAGGGCAGCGAAACCGCGAGGUCAAGCAAAUCCCAUAAAGUUGUUCUCAGUUCGGAUUGUAGUCUGCAACUCGACUACAUGAAGCUGGAAUCGCUAGUAAUCGUAGAUCAGCAUGCUACGGUGAAUACGUUCCCGGGUCUUGUACACACCGCCCGUCACACCACGAGAGUUUGUAACACCCGAAGCCGGUGGAGUAACCUUUUAGGAGCUAGCCGUCGAAGGUGGGACAAAUGAUUGGGGUGAAGUCGUAACAAGGUAGCCGUAUCGGAAGGUGCGGCUGGAUCACCU
rnacentral:rRNA from 2 species